GAUGAACGCUGGCGGCGUGCCUAAUACAUGCAAGUCGAGCGAACAGACGAGGAGCUUGCUCCUCUGACGUUAGCGGCGGACGGGUGAGUAACACGUGGAUAACCUACCUAUAAGACUGGGAUAACUUCGGGAAACCGGAGCUAAUACCGGAUAAUAUAUUGAACCGCAUGGUUCAAUAGUGAAAGACGGUUUUGCUGUCACUUAUAGAUGGAUCCGCGCCGCAUUAGCUAGUUGGUAAGGUAACGGCUUACCAAGGCAACGAUGCGUAGCCGACCUGAGAGGGUGAUCGGCCAAACUGGAACUGAGACACGGUCCAGACUCCUCCGGGAGGCAGCAGUAGGGAAUCUUCCGCAAUGGGCGAAAGCCUGACGGAGCAACGCCGCGUGAGUGAUGAAGGUCUUCGGAUCGUAAAACUCUGUUAUUAGGGAAGAACAAAUGUGUAAGUAACUAUGCACGUCUUGACGGUACCUAAUCAGAAAGCCACGGCUAACUACGUG
rnacentral:rRNA from 1 species